GACAGAGGUGCCGAGCGUUAGGCGGAAUCACUGGGCUUAAAGCGUGUGUAGGCGGGCGGGCAAGUACCUUGUGAAAUCCCACGGCUCAACCGUGGAACGGCUGGGUAUACUGCCUGUCUUGAGCCAGCUAGGGGCGAGCGGAACAGACGGUGGAGCGGUGAAAUGCGUAGAUAUCGUAAGGAAGACCAGUGGCGAAGGCGGCGACCUGGGCCAAUAUUGACGCUGAGGUGCGAAAGCGUGGGGAGCAAACAGG
rnacentral:rRNA from 1 species